ensembl:snRNA U4 U4 spliceosomal RNA
AGCUUUGCACAGUGGCAGUAUCGUAGCCAAUGAGGUUUAUCCGAGGCGCGAUUAUUGCUAAUUAAAAAGUGAAGUGGAGGGGCGCCUGGGUGGCUCAGUGGGUUAAGCCGCUGCCUUCGGCUUGGGUCAUGAUCUCAGGGUC